rnacentral:rRNA from 1 species
AUGGCCAACCACGUUGCACUUCUCCUCCUACUGUCUCUCCAGCUCACCGCGUCAUUCUCUCAGCAGCCCGGCGACGACCCGGACUUCCGGACGCUCCUCAAGAUCAAGGAGCAGUUCGACGACCAGGCCGCGCUGGUGUCCUUGCAUCCCGGCACCGACCAGUGCAACUGGGCAUACGCCCACUGCAACCAGGACCGCCGCGUCGUCGCCAUCUUCCUCCAGAACGUCAACAUCACCUCCACGAUCCACCGGCCAUCGGUGACCUCGACCAGCUCCACACCAUCAGCAUACACAGCAUCCCGGGCCUCCAUGGCCCCAUCCCGGACACGUUCGGCAAGCUCUCGCACCUCUCCAUCUUCAACAUCAUGCGCGCCUCCGUCUCGGGCUCCCUGCCGGCGUCGCUCUCCCGGACAAACCUCACCUCCGUCAGCUUCUUCAGCAACAAGCUGA